GCCGGUGUGGUGAAACUGGCAGACGCGCUGGACUCAAAAUCCUGUGGACUAAUCAUCCGUGUCGGUUCGAGUCCGACCACCGGCACCA
rnacentral:tRNA from 2 species